rnacentral:rRNA from 1 species
AUUGAACGCUGGCGGCAGGCCUAACACAUGCAAGUCGAGCGAGCGGCGGACGGGUGAGUAAUGUAUGGGGACUGCCCGCUAGCGGGGGGUAACUACUGGAAACGGUAGCUAAUACCGCAUCCUCUCGGAUAUCCCAUAUGGGAUUAGCUAGUAGGUGAGGUAAUGGCUCACCUAGGCGACGAUCCCUAGCUGGUCUGAGAGGUUGAUCAGCCCAUGUGGGACGGUGACACGGCCCAGAAUCCUACGGAGGCAGCAGUGGGGAAUAUUGCACAAGGAUGGCAAGCCGGAUGAAGCCAUGCGGCGUGGAUGAAAAAGGCCCUGGGGUUGUAAAGUACUUUCAGUGGGGAGGCGUUACCGGCAGAGGAAGCACCGGCUAACUCCGUGCCAGCAGCCGCGGUAAUAC